rnacentral:lncRNA from 1 species
CAAAACACCAUUUUUACUGUAAAAGACACUCAAACACAUAUGCAUUACCAUACAACAUUAAUUUACUGAAAUUUCAUUUAAAUCAUUCAAAAAUUACAAAGUUUGUAGCAUGACCCAACAUAUUCAAAAACCUAUGUACAUGUCAUUUCUAUACCAAAACAUAAUACCUAUUAUCCCUAGCUUGAGGUUGUGAUGAGAUGAGCAGUUAACGACUCCAAUCAAACAUGUCAAAUCUAACUGUACCUAUGCACUAAAAAUAAACGUGUUAAGCCGGUGAAGACUUAGUAAGCAGUACAAGAAUAAAAGAAUAUAAUAUAUCUAUAAAAUUUUACAAAUUUAUAUCAAACUUUCAUACAUCGAUACCUGACCACCUCCAGAUGUACUAACGUCCAGAGUAAAAAUCCUCCACAAAAUAUAUGAAACGGUGGUAUGUACAAGUAUACGGGUCAGAUUGUAAUAUAGUUACAACGGAGUAGAUGAGUACUCUAAGGGAGAUGAGUACUAAAUUAAUUCUAACAUAAGCAUAAAUAGAUCUAAUUAGUACUUUAAAUGAAUUAUAUUACGAUGGAAUAAAAAGAAAGGUUUUUGUGAUCUAUACUAAUAAUAAUAAUAAAAUAAAGAAAUCAAAUCAAAUCACAAGAAAUCAAAUUAUAAAAUGUAUCAAAACUGAAUAUGGGUGAUUAGGUUGCUUUAGUAAUCAUAACCAACUGUUGCCUUAGGUUUUCUUGUUCAAUCAACUAGUUGAUAUCCUGGCAGUAUCUUCUGAUCUUCCAUUAAAGUAACGAGUCGGCAAGAACUACUUAUCUCUCAACCUCGCAAUCCAGACUGGUUCAGGGUUAAGUUAUUCACAGAUAGGUCAUACCAAAUUUGGGUUAAUUCUCAACUUAAUGACUUAUCAGGGUUAUCAGGCCUAAGGUUUAGGUUCUUCUUUUACUAAACAGUUGAUCCGCUAAGAGAACACUAUAAAAUAGUUAAUUAAUCAUACCUCUACUCGUUAAUCCCUCUCAGGAGGAUUAGUUCCUUAUGGAUCUCAUAAACAAUAUAAACUUGAUAGAAAUAGUAGACAUGAAUAGUAAUUCAAAAGUAUAAAGUUUAGAAGAAGCCUAAUUGUAUUAGAAUUGAGUGCAAAAUCCUCACAGAGUUUGAUUAUGUUUCACAAAUCUAAUUUCUUUCACAAAAGCAAAUAACAAAAACUGAAAUAAACCUAAAGUCUAAGAAAAGAGAAAAACUAAAGACUAAAUCUAAGAAGAAAAUUAUACAAUAUGAAAGUUGUCCAUAACAUGUGUUAAAUGAGCCUAUUUAUAGACUUUAGAGUGGUCAUCGUCCUUAACCUUAUAUCAGUUGUCCUUCUCAUGCUUAAUAUUUGAUAGUGUGGAUCGAAAUGCCCCUGACUCGUAAUUAUUUCCCGUACAGAGAUGAUGUCGCAACACACCAAGUCAUGUGUUUUGACAUCGAGGGCAGUAUGCUCCAUCUUCAUGGUGUCUUCAAGUGUGUGUCACGGCAUCAUCAAGCUGUGUCUUAAAAUUAUUCUAUUCUAUGCCCUAUGUUGCGACAUCCAGUGCUCAAUGUUGCAACAAAUCAACCAGUAUCGAGUUUAGCAUACCUUCUAAUGGUCUCUUGCACGCUUGCAAAGGAUAUUAGCUUGGCCUUAGGCCUCAUUCGACCCCUAAGGUCAAUAAAAGACUUAAAUUACACACUUUAUUAAAUUUAACUAAAAUUGAGAAAAUGUAAUUAAAACUUAACCAAAAUAAAGGACUUGGUAACUUGUUAAAUUCUUAUAAUACUUAAUCAAACUUAAACUAUUCAAAAUUAAUGGAGAAAAGUUCUAAACAAAAGUUUCUAAAGCUUUAGAGUGCCGAGGACGAGCUCGAAGUAAUGAAAUAAGUCCUAUGGAGGAAAGGAAUGCACAAAUUCUCUUUAAACCUGCUAACACAAGAAGGCAAAAGUGAUAGUUAAUGUAUAAGAAUCAAUAAAAUCAAGUAAUAAAGAAUUCUAACUAUAAGAAUUAAGAAAUAAGGCAAAACUAUCAAAAUCCUAGAAAAUAACUACCCAACUUUGAGCAAUUAGUUUUCUGUGUUCUAGGUGGCCAAAAAUUAUGAAAAAAAUAGGACAAGAUCAAUGAAUAUAAUAAUAUAUGAUCUAAAAAGUAUCAACUCAAAAUUCACUUGGAUGAAUAAAAAUAAAAAUAAAAAUAUUGUUUCUUUUGACAUUUUUUUAUUUUUAUCAAUCUAAUUACUAAAUAAAUUUAAUAAAAUUUAAAAUAUCUCAAAAAAUUAAAACAAAAUUCAAAAAGUAAUUAAAUAAAGUAAGAAGCAAAUCUUGACAAUUUUUGGUUUGUGCAAGAAGGCUUCAAGAGCUUUUUCUUAGAUAAUACCAAAUGAUGUGGAAUUCGAGAUUGAAUUUUAGAGGCCCGAACAAUCAAAUCAAAGUAAAUCAAAUUGAAAACAAGCUUUCUUGGAAAAUAAGAAAACUAUGACAAUAAGGAAUUUUAAGGCCAUCAAGAACCUGAAAAUUCAAUAGAAAAAUAUGAAGAUUGAAAACCCAAACUUCUAUAAUUAAAGAAUUAAAUAAAAAAGGCAAAGAUGAAAUAAUGGAUUGAUGAAACCAAAGGUAGAAGAUGAUAGGUGAAUGGUUGGAAGAUUGAUGAAACCCAAGCCUCUUUUGAUGAACAAAAAUAAACAAAGAACUCUAAUGACUUUUAAUCAAACCUUCCUAUGGACUUGAAUUAGGCAAGCUGAAGUUACGAAGAACCUCCUCCACAAUUCUUGAAAAAUUGAAGCAAAAGUCCGUCAAGAAAAUAAUAAGAAACUAUAAUUAUAAAAAAGAACUCAUUUGGAGCAAUUUUAUUAAUAAAAGUAAUUAGCAUACAAUAUAUGGUGGCUAUAGAAAAUAUAAUAUCAUAUAUAUGGACCUAAGCUACUUGGAAAACAAGGAAAUAACCCUUCAUCUAUCUCCAAGCAAUUGAUUUAGUCAUAAUCUUAUUCUUUAAGCUAAAUUAGACUAAGAUAUUUAAAAUUUGGUAAUAAAUAAAUCCUUAAAAUAUAAAAAUUCAUAAAAACUUUUAUUGGGAUUAUAUAAUUGAAAUUAAGCAUUGAAUCGGAUUGAUUGAAGAAUAUCUCGUAAAUCUCAAUGUUCAUCCUAGUUUUUAUUAGGGUAAUGUGGUCCUUAUUAUUAAGAUAUUUAGGUGGGAAUUUGAUUAUAAUUUAUUUGUAUAGCAGUAGGCAAUAAAACGCACAUUUAUGUUUUAGGCUAGUUUAGUUAGAA